GGUGGGGCCGGUUGGGACUCGCCGCUCCCACGCCCUUGGGCUGCGGCCGGGUGCCCGCUCUUCCUUCCGCUUGCGCUGUGAGCUGAGCGGGUGUAUGUGUGGCAAUAACAUGUCAACCCCACUCCCCGCCAUCAUGCCCGCCGCCUGGAAGGCCACUGCUGCGGUGAUUUUCCUGCAUGGAUUGGGAGAUACUGGGCACGGAUGGGCAGAAGCCUUUGCAGGUAUCAGAAGUUCACAUAUCAAAUAUAUCUGCCCGGAUGCGCCUGUUAGGCCUGUUACAUUAAAUAUGAACAUGGCUAUGCCUUCAUGGUUUGAUAUUAUUGGGCUUUCACCAGAUUCACAGGAGGAUGAAUCUGGGAUUAAACAGGCAGCAGAAAAUAUAAAAGCUUUGAUUGAUCAAGAAGUGAAGAAUGGCAUUCCUUCUAACAGAAUUAUUUUGGGAGGGUUUUCUCAGAGAAGAGCUUUAUCUUUAUAUACUGCCCUUACCACGCAGCAGAAGCUAGCAGAUGUCACUGCACUCAGUUGCUGGCUUCCACUUCGGGCUUCCUUUCCACAGGGUCCUGUCGGUGGUGCUGAUAGAGAUAUUUCUAUUCUCCAGUGCCACGGGGAUUGUGACCCUUUAGUUCCCCUGAUGUUUGGUUGUCUUACGGUUGAAAAACUAAAAACAUUGGUGAAUCCAGCCAAUGUGACCUUUAAAACCUAUGAAGGUAUGAUGCACAGUUCGUGUCAACAGGAAAUGAUGGAUGUCAAGCAAUUCAUUGAUAAACUCCUACCUCCAAUUGAUUGACGUUGCUAAGAGGCCUUGUGUAGAAGUACACCAGCAUCAUUGUAGUAGAGUAUAAACCUUUUCCCAUGCCCAGUCUUCAAAUUUCUAAUGUUUUGCAGUGUUAAAAUGUUUUGCAAAUACAUGCCAAUGGCACAGAUCAAAUAAUGUCUCCUCAUGAGAAAUUUAUGAUCUUUUAAGUUUCUAUACAUGUAUUCUUAUAAGAAGAUCCAGAAUCUACUAUAUUAAAAUAGAUAAAGCAGGUAGCUUCUUUUUUCUCAAAUGCAAUUCAGCAAAAUAAUACAGUACUGCCACCAGUUUUUUUAUUACAUCAUUUGAAAAUUAGCAGUAUGCUUAAUGACAAUUUGUUCAGGUAGAAAUGAGCAGUUAAGAUAUAAACAAUUUAUGCAUGCUGUGACUUAGUCUAUGGAUUUAUUCCAAAAUUGCUUAGUCACCAUGCAAUGUCUGUAUUUUUAUAUAUGUGUUCAUAUAUACGUAAUGAUUGUAAUGCAUAGUAAGAAUGAGGUGGUAUUACAUUAUUCCUAAUAAUAGGGAUAAUGCUGUUCAUUGUCAAGAAAGAGUAAAAUUGUUCUCUUCAAUUAAUGGCCCUUUUAUUUUGGGCUUUUAUUUUCCCUGAUAUUAUUUCUACUUAAUACUCUUUUCUCUCAAGAAAAAAAAAAGUUUGUUUUUUCUUUAUUGUUCUUCAUAGCAGACCAAGUAUUGCCUCUCUGCCAUAGACAGCUACUGUCAAUACAUGCUAUAAUUUGACAUUCUGGGUCACAGAUAUAUGGUAUUUAAAAUCUAUUUAUGCUUUAUAGAGAAACCAGACAUUAAAACUUCAUGCACUACUUAUUUCAAAUUACUGUACCUUAUCCAAAUUUACACCUAGCUAUUAGGAUCUUCAACCCAGGUAACAGGAAUAAUUCUAUGGUUUUAUUUUUCUGUAAACAACUGAAAGAAUGAUUAGAUCAUAUUCUAGUAUGUUCUGAAAUAUCUUUAAGACUGAUCUUAAAAACUAACUUCUAAGAUGAUUUCAUCUUCUCAUAGCAUAGAGUUUACUUUGUACACAUGUUUGAAACCAACUACUGUAGAAGAUGAGGAAUCUAUUGUAAUUUUUUGCUUUAUUUUUAUCUGCCAGUGGACUUAUUUGAAAUUUUCACUUUAGUCAAAUUAUUUUUUGUAUUAGUUUUUCGUGCAAACAUAAAAAUAGCAAUCAUUUUAAAUUGUCAAAAUUUCCAGAUUACUGGUAAAAAUUAUUUGAAAACAAACUAUGGGUAAUAAAGGCUAGUCAGAACCCUAUACAUAAAAUGUAGUUACCAUGCAGAUUAAUAUGUAGCAAAAAUGUAUGCUUGAUAUUUCUGAACUGUGUUGAUUUUUCUGCUGUAUUCCAGCUGACCAAAACAAUAUUAAGAAUGCAUCUUUAUAAAUGGGUGCUAAUCGAUAAUGGAAAUAAUUUAGUAAUGGACUCUAUAGGAUGUUAAUAAUGAAGCCAUAUGUUUAUGUCUGGAUUUUAAAAUUUUAAACAAUCAUUUACUAUGUAAUUUUUCUUUACCUUGAAGAACAUAAACUGUUAUUUCAGUUCUACAAAUCAGCAAGAUAUUAUUUAUGGCAAGAAAUAUUCCGUUGAAAUGUUGUGCUGUAACAUGGGAAAAUGUAAAUGUUUUUCAUGGUUUCUAUCAAUGUGAAAUAAAAUUUAAUUC